rnacentral:lncRNA from 1 species
ACUAGAGUUACAGAUAGUUGUGAGCCACUGCAUGGCUGCUAGAAACCAACUUCGCUCCUCUGGAGGAGCAGCCACUGAUUCAGGCCCUAACCAGUAUUUCUGUUUUGUUGUUUUAUUGCCACUUAAAAGUUUGCCCCACUUGUGAUCUUACAUUUUUCAAUUUAAAAAAUUACAGCACAGAUAGCUUUCAAUUUAUAAUCAGUUUGAAAGUGUUUCAAAUAUUAUUUCAUAAAACAUUUUAUGAUACUGGGUAUCACAAUCUUACCCAAAUUAAACAAAAUAUGUCUUUAGGAAAAGAAGAAAUUACAGGCCAAUUUAUCCUAAAAAAAAAAAAAAAAAAGAACAGAACACUUUUUAAUAAAAUACUAACAAAACCAAAAUCAUCACUAUAUGUAAUUAAUUAAUGGCAUGCAGAAGUUUUUUUCAAAGGAAUGGAAGGUUAGACCUGAAAGCUGGUAAAAAGAAUGCAUUGCAUUCUAAAUUUUACUCAUCGAUAUUGAAUAAAAUUCUUACAUUUUGUUAUGUUUCUAUGAAGAAAAAUCUCUUAAAAAUAGAACGAUAACACUAAAGCUAUUUAAAUGCAAUGUUAGGGUUUUGUUAAUGUAGAGAAAACAAUUUUCAUUUUCAAAUGUUUGGGUUAUAUGAUAAUGUGUAGAGUUCUUUAGUGAUGACAUGAUUUUUUUUUUUCUUGAGCUACAAAAAGUCCCAAAGUAGAAAUUAAGUUUAAAUUUUUCUAAAUCCUUAAUUAAUUAAAAAAAAAGUUUCAUGCUGAGUGUGGUGGCCAAAGGCAGGUGAAUCUCUGUGCGUGUAGGGCAGCCUGGUAUUCAUUGCAAGUACCAGGCCAUCCAGUGCUACAUAGUGAGCCCCUGUCAACCAAUGAAGCAGAGACAAAGAAACAAACCAAAAAAAUGAAUGAAGCCUGCGGUUGAACAGAAGCUGCCUAUAAGGACAGAUGAAAACUUGGCAUGUGGAAGAAGGAAGUUCUUGCCAGAUGCGUGAAAGUAUCUUCCUAGCAGCACAGGACUCCUUUGUGGUUCUAAUAAGAAUCAUCUGCAUAGCCUCAUUGGCAGGCCCAGACACAUUCCUGGAGGUCUGUAAAUGUCUUAUCAUAAACAUUGUACGUUAUCUCUGUUAAUUUCACCAUAAAUGAUAGGAACUGGGAUGGGUUUUGGUCUAGUAAUUACCAGUUGACUAGUAAUUUCUAACAAACUAAACAGCCUGGGUUCUGUCUAUUCAUGAAAAACCAAGCAUGGUACUACAUGCCUGUAAUCCUACCACACAGGAGGCUGUAGAGAGAGGAAGAUUAAAACUUUGAUGUCAAACUCAGGUGCAUAGGCGGACCGAGUCCAAAACCCAGAUUUAGCCUGAGCAUUGUGUGGGUGAUCCAGUAUUAUGGAAAUGGAAGUAGCAACUAAAUGAUCUGCAGAAGUGAUUUGACCUUUGUACCUGUCUCAUGGCUGUUUUUGUUUGGUUCCCGAAUGUUUCCAUAGUUCUAAAAUCUCAUUGCAUCUCCAUUGUAAUUGCCUUUUUUAAUGUCAAUGUUAGGAAACUAUUGACUCCAAAAAGCUCUCAAAUGCAGUUAUACUGGAUAGAUGUCUCAUAGUGUCCCUUGCACUUGGUUCUUGUAAUUAUUCCUGGAGCCAUAUGCAUUAUGUGUAUUACAACCAAGUAAUAGAUUUGGUUGGUUGAUGUAGUGUUUUAACUUUUUAUCUACCUAUCAGCGCUUGGUAUUUAACCUAGCUUGGAUGGGUCACGUCUUGUGAUAAACCUAAGAGUUCAAAACUUAGCUUCUUGAUUGUCAUUGUUGCUGCUCUUGUUUUGAAGCAGGAUAUCUGUGGAGCCCAUGCUAGCCUCCAUCUCAAGAGCCAGUAGCCUCAGCCUUGUUAUUGCUGCGAUCAUAACCAUGCCCUGCUGAACUCUUAUUUUGUAAACCACCUUAGUAAAAAGCAUUUGCUUUCUCCUUAAAUCACUUCUCAGAAUUGUUAACAGGGAAUGUUCUGUGUUUUUAAAGCUUCUCCAAUACCGGAAUAAUAAUGAAGUUAUCUAAAUGGACAGAAGUAAGCCAUAUUAGGUAAUAUAGAAAGUGCGUACCUAACCAUGCAAUCACGGAUUGACAUAAUAUUCAUAGGCUAAGAUUUAAUUUUGUUUUCUUAAGAGCUCCUUUGGCAUUGUGUUUGCAUCACAUCCUCUUCCUGCUUUAAUGGUUGGCAGAUUUCUGGAAAUGUUGACUGUGGCUCCCAUGAGCUGGGAACAUUUACUGACAUAGUUUAGAGAAAUCGUACGGAAACACAUAGUGGGGUGGGGCAGUGGCUCGGGUAUGGCAGCGCAUGUAUGGCAGCGCAGGCAUUAACAGUUACCCGGCUUUGGUAUCAUUCCUCACUUGGCAACAUCACACGUUUCCUUUAGUAUAUCCCCAUUCUCUGAGUUCACUUGGCAGUUGAGUAAUUGGUUCUUACCUUCUUGGCAUCUUUCAUUUCUUGUUUAUAUAUUUAGUAAUGGUAGGAUCUCUUGUAUGCUAGGCAGUGCCCUACCACUUAGUUGUACCACUAUUCCUUUUUAAUUUUAACUAUACUUAAGACUCAGAUUUUCUCUCUCUUUUAUUUUCUUAAGUAUUUGUUCUUAAAUGCUAGAGUGAUGGUUUGGUGCUUAAGAGUAAAAGGACACAGAUUCAGUUCCCAGCAUACAGAUAGUCAAUGCCAAUGGGCUCUAAUGGGCUUCUUGAACAUCAAACAUGGAUGCCGUGAACAGACAUACAUACAGGGAAGAUAUGCAUACAUAUCAGAUAAACAAUAAAUUGUAUUUAUUGUUAAGCAGGAAUUACAGGCAUUUGUGAUAUGCCCCACCUUGGUGCUAAUAACCUAAUUUAUGUCCUGGAGCAGCAAGUACUUUUAACUGCUGAACCAUCUCUCUAAUCUCAGAUAACUUCUUUUACUAUUAGGUAACACGGUAGAGUUUGAAAGUAAGUAUAAAAGAGGCUAACUAGAAUCAUAGGAAGGGUCUUCACACUGUACAGUAGGCAUGAAUGGGUUCUUCUAUAAGACACCUAUUUACUAGGAUGUCAUUUUGCAUCAGGGGAACCAGAAUCACUUCUGAUCAAUACAUCUCAAAUAAUCUUGUUUCACUGAUUAAGUCUCAGUAGUUGUUCUCUAUGCUAGAGAACUCUCAGGCUCAUUACACCUAACCUUACAUUUCUUCUAUAUGUCUCUUAUUCCCAUUUACCAGUGGGAAAUUGACUGUGGGUAAUUAGUUAAUAGAUUUCUCCUAUUCCCCUAAAGUCUGGAUUUUCUAAACAAAGCCAUUUACAGCUGGUUGUGGUGGCACAUGGAGGUACAAUGUGCAGAAGUGGUAGCUAGCUGUAGAAGGAGGAUAAAUUUGAAAUCAGUAUAGCUUAUACUUUUGUUAACAGUGAGUAUGUCACAGGCCUUUAAUCUCAGCACUUGCGGGGCAGAGGCAGGUAGUCUGAGUUGAAGGCCAUACUAUUCUUCAUAGUAAGUUCAAGGCCAGCAUAGUCUUAAAAAAAAU